rnacentral:rRNA from 1 species
GACGAACGCUGGCGGCGUGCUUAACACAUGCAAGUCGAACGGAAAGGCCCUGCUUUUGUGGGGUGCUCGAGUGGCGAACGGGUGAGUAACACGUGAGUAACCUGCCCUUGACUUUGGGAUAACUUCAGGAAACUGGGGCUAAUACCGGAUAGGAGCUCCUGCUGCAUGGUGGGGGUUGGAAAGUUUCGGCGGUUGGGGAUGGACUCGCGGCUUAUCAGCUUGUUGGUGGGGUAGUGGCUUACCAAGGCUUUGACGGGUAGCCGGCCUGAGAGGGUGACCGGAGCAAUGGGGACUGAGGUACGGCGCAAGACCCCAUGGGGCGGAAGAGGGGGGAAGGUGACACAAGCGGGGGGAGGCUGAUGCGCGAACGCCGGGGGCGGGGGGAGGGCGUGGGGGUUGGAAACAGGUUUCCCCGGUGACGAAGCGGGAGUGGCGGUAAUGGGUAAAGGAGCAACGGCUAACUACGC